CGUGUUUGUACAAAAAAAACGAAUUCGUCGUGUUUGUUAAUUUUUAACAUUUAACGAAUUCUACCACAUAUCCAUCAACCAGUAAUCAUUUGUCAAUCGUGCAAAUAUGAACAUACUACCAAAUUUUGUAUUGCUCCUGAUAAUAUCUUCUUUGUUUGGUUCUUGGACAUACGCCUUCACGGUGCCACGGAUACAACGAACACAGUUUGCCGAAUGGAAACCCACCCAAUAUCGCCGAGUGGCGUUUAGACCGACUGGAGAUAAAAAAGUUGAGGUCAUAAAAGUGCAGCCUGCUGCGGAGAGAGAAAUUCACGUUAUUAAAACUUCGGACACACCUACAGCAGAAUUAAGAUCUGUAAGCUUGUAAGCGUAAUAUGGCACGGAUUCUCUGUAAUCAGUUUUUAAUAACGAGCUUUAAGAAUUUUCAAUCAAACUUGUCGGUCGUAGUAAUGUUAAAUAAAAAGUUUUGAAGUC